GUAGGGUGCAAGCGUUAAUCGGAAUUACUGGGCGUAAAGCGUGCGCAGGCGGUUUUGUAAGACAGGCGUGAAAUCCCCGGGCUCAACCUGGGAAUUGCGCUUGUGACUGCAAGGCUGGAGUGCGGCAGAGGGGGAUGGAAUUCCGCGUGUAGCAGUGAAAUGCGUAGAUAUGCGGAGGAACACCGAUGGCGAAGGCAAUCCCCUGGGCCUGCACUGACGCUCAUGCACGAAAGCGUGGGGAGCAAAC
rnacentral:rRNA from 1 species